GAGGAUGGACCCAAGAAUACGCCGGACUCACAUUUGUUAACGUAAGGGGUGCAGGGCACGAAGUUCCUCUGCAUAGACCAAAACUUGCUCUAACAUUGAUCAAAGCCUUCUUAGAAGGAACCUCCAUGCCAACUCUUGAACCACGCACACUCACCGCCGCAAUUUGAUAUGAUACAUUCAAGAUUAUGGUUGUUAGAUUGCCGUUUGUAUUUGUCUUUAUUAGAAAACAAGUGGUAAAUGCGAUAUGUUGUUCCUCAACCAAAGACUGGUUUAAAUAAAGAGGAUACAAAUACAAUUAAUUCUCUUCCUAGAAUCAAGAGAGUUUAUUUAACGAUUGAGCCGUGUUGAUUGAUUAGUCUCACAGUUCUACUUACAAAUAUCUUUGAUUGGCAAGGACAAAAAACCUAAAAAAUGGUAUUGAUUGAUUUAAAUAAUUAUUAGUAAACAAAUUCUAUUAAUCGAUUGAUAAAACUAAGUAAUUUAUUGUAAUGAUUUCAUGCUUUUGGUCGGAAACAGUUGUAUGAUACACUCUGCUAACACAAAAUGUACAGGAUAUACACUCUUCGAGGAGUGUGGGCUCCAAGAAUAUUCAGGCAAGGAAAAGGAAGCAAAAUUUAGAGAGAAUUUAGAGAGAAAAUGGUUUCAAUGUACUUCAUUCAUGCUGAAAACUACUAGUACAAUGAACAAAUCAACAUGUUAUAUAGGGUAAAGGCAUACAUGACUAACUGAAUAACAAACUACACAGGGGUAGAAAUUAACAGUAAAAGACAUCAUAAUAAUUAUUGAAAGUUACUCUUCACACUUAUGAAAUCGUUCAUUCCUUUGACUGCCGCUGAUACAAGGGAAUGAACAAUUUCAUAAGUGAGAAGAGUAAUUUUUAUAAUUAUUUGAUUUUGAAGACCUAAAGGUGUUGUCGUGGCAAUGGGUAUUCCAUAGGUUGAAGAUUCCCAUUUAUUUGUAUUAUGAAUGGUGUUGGAAUCCUAGACUAUGUUUGUUGAGGUAGUUUUUUGGGUCAGCUGUUGUGGCGUUGGUGCUGAUUCGGGUGUUCUGGCGUUGUUGCGUCGUUGCUGUUUGUUUUUGGUGCGUAGCCGGAGGGUGCCCUUACUGUUUUAGACUUGCUGGCAGGCUACAGGUUCGAUUCUGUUUUCUGUUGUUCGGGUCUGCAGUACUCCCUUUUUGCUGGUUGUUGGCCUGCGGGGGCUGUUCUGUGGUUGUAGUUUUAGGUGACUGUGUUUUUCAGUCAUUUUUGCUGCCUGUUAGUAGUGCUCAGGGGACUGCAUUGAUGUUUUUAGUGGCCUUUUUUUCUUUAGUUUUUUGGGGCCGGUUGCACCUUGGUUUGAUGUUUCAUUUGUACCUCUUGUGCUUGAAACACUUGUAAAUAAUAUUUUGCUGUCUCAAAAAAAAAAAAAAAAAACAUUGAAUAGGGAUUCCAUAAUAGAAAAUCUUAUCUAAAAAAUACAAAUUAUUUUCAUCAGAUUAAUAAUUACAACACUUUUUAUUUUUUAUGUAAAAUAACUUUUUGUUUUCUAAAUUAAGACCUUUAGGACACUCAUUAUCAUCUUUAUUAGUCUUAUAAUGUUAUAAAUAAAUUAUAUGAUAUAUAUAUAUAUAUAUAUAUAUAUAUAUAUAUAUAUAUAUAGGGUCAAAUUGCAUAAAUAUCAAAAUGUUGGUUAAAAAAUAUGAUAGGCGAGUGGGGUCAGGAGACCCGCGUUGCCCCCACCCUCAAUCCGUGGCUGAGCCUAUGACACCAAUUUUACAACAUGUCAAAAAACACAUGUAUCAUUCAGACAUCAAUAGGUAGAAAACAAAAUUAAAAUAGUAAAUGGCAGAAACAAUGUUGCACUGGACAGUUCCUCCAUUAAUGAACAACCCAAAAGUUGUUCAUUACAUUAAACAAGUGGUCCUUAUAGAGACAAUGUUAUGGAAGAAAUGGUACAUUGGCAAUUGUAUCUGAAAUGGCCAAUUCUGAGUGGUCUCAAAUCUUUGCCAUAACAUUGGCAACCAUUUUCCUAUGCAACAACAAUUUCACAUUUGCAACAGACCCAUUUGUCCAACAAGAACAUGACAGGAUUGAUAGACCACUCCCAGGUCAAAACUUCAACAUCAGCUUUGAACACUAUUCUGGUUAUAUAACAGUGAAUGAGGAUGCUGGUAGGAACUUGUUUUACUGGUUCAUUCAAGCUGAUCAUGUAGAUCCUACUUCAAAGCCACUUCUUUUGUGGCUCAAUGGUGGUCCUGGUUGUUCUUCUAUUGCUUAUGGUGAAGCUGAGGAAAUUGGUCCUUUUCAUAUUAAUUCAGAUGGCAAAAACCUUCAUUUUAAUCCUUAUUAUUGGAAUCAAGGUGAGUUAAGAGUUAUUCUGUGUUUACCAAUUCAAAAAAUAUAUUUAUGUUAUGUGGAAUUGUAUUCCUGUGUUGGGUGUGUCUACUUCAAUUGGUUUCUCACUAGUGGACGGUGGGGUUGGUAUCCUAGAUUAGACGGCCAUUAGGUCGGAUAUCGAGUUUCCAAUAAAAAAUGCCAUGUUAAACUGUUUUAUUUGUGUUUUUUUUUUUUUUUUUGUAGUUGCCAAUUUUCUUUAUAUCGAAUCUCCUGUUGGAGUUGGAUUUUCAUAUUCAAAGAAUUCAUCUGACAUUCUCAACAAUGGCGAUAAGAGGACAGGUAAGGUAUCGCUUACUUGGAUCUAGAUUCUUUGCAUUUUCUUAUACAUGCUUUUUCACGCAUUAAUUAAUCAUGGUCGAACCAACAUUAUGCUGGGAGAGUUGUGACUCUCACAGAAAAGAACCCUAAUUCGAUUCCUGGAUUCAUUUAUUUGGGAGUUAGCCCAGCCCUGGUAAAAAAAUGAAAUCAGAUGUCCCGCUGCCGAUGAAUAGUCUCAUAGCAGGCCCAAAGGGCCUAAGCCGUAGGAUACAUUGGGGAGCCUACUGGGGUCAAAGAUCCUAAUUACGGGGUGUUAGCAAAAAAAAGUCUUGGUCAUUGAUUUGAGAUUAGUCGUAUAACAUUACCAGGGGUGGCCUUGGCGGGAUGGGUGACUGCCCAGGGCAAGAGCACAAAAAAUCUUAGGACCGACCCUGAACAUUACACCUGUAUCAGAUUAUCUUUAAAUAGUCUAUACCAAGAUUAAUUAAGGUGUCACGCAUUUGGAGUCUCAAUUAUGAAGUGAAACUUAUAAGCCGAAGGAUUCUUACUUUUAAUAGAGUAGUAUUUUGUGACGAGUUCUCCCAUUUGGUGAAUGCUCGUUAUAUUGGUGUGUUUGUUGGGAUGUUGACUUCUUUGAAAUAAUUGUCCACAGAGAGUUCUGAUCGAUGAGGAAGUUGAGUGGAUUGUCCAUGAGUGAAGUGUCAUGACGUUGUCUCUCGAUUAGUGAGAGUUCGUAAAAUUGAUUUAAGUUAAAAUUCAGCUGGAUGUAAAUAUGGUUGGACACAUUCACGUAAAAAUCAAGUUUUCAGGCUAAUGCUUUAAAUCACAGUUUCAAGUUAGAAUCUAUUCUAGAGACACAGUCAAUUCUACUUGACAAUACUCAAACAUGUCUAAAUCAAUUUAAUAUUUUCAGAAUCACUUUUGCAUCCAUCGAAAAUGAAACCAAACACACGUGUCUAGGGGUUCUUACUAACGGACUUGUUUUUCAACGAGCUCUACUUUUUGGAGUCCAUAGCACUUCGUGUAUGACGAUUGAAUCAAAUUAAAUUAAUUUAAUAAUUCUUUAUGUGCAGCUGAGGAUAAUCUCAUAUUUCUUUUAAAGUGGUUUGAGCGUUUUCCCCAGUACAAAAAAACAGACUUUUUCAUCAGUGGUGAGAGCUAUGCAGGUAAACGCAAAUGGUGAGAUAGAUGAGGACAUAUAUUAUGUCUAGUGUUUGAGUUCUCUAACUUUGGUCUUGCUUGUUUCAGGACAUUAUAUUCCUCAACUUAGCCAAGUUAUUGUCAAGUACAACUCGGCUACAAAACAAGAUUCUAUAAAUUUCAAAGGUUUCCUGGUAUGAAUUCCAUUUUUACACAAAAAAAUAGUAAUAAUCCCAUGCAAUAUUGCAAGAACGUGGAGAAAAAAUUGCCGAAAACAACGUGUCAUUAGGGGAAUAAUAUGUAUCUCUGUCUGCUGCAGGUAGGAAAUGCUGUAACAGAUGAUUUCCAUGAUCAAUUGGGGAUUUUCGAGUUUUUGUGGACAAAUGGUAUGAUUUCGGAUCAAACAUUCAAGCUCUUGAACUUGCUAUGUGAUUUUCAGUCAUUCGAACACCCGUCAAAGUCAUGUGAAAGGAUCUUGGAAAUUGCUGAUAAGGAAAUGGGUAAUAUAGACCCAUUCAGUAUCUUUACCCCUCCUUGCCAUGAGAAUGAUAAUCAGCCGGAUAGAAGAAAGCAUGUAAGUUGAUCUUUCUAGCUUCUACUAUUGUUUUAUCUUGUCUUUAAAGGUCCUAAUAUUGUUGCCUGUUGAAGAUUUCCUUGUUUGUGAUGGUGCAGUACAUGUUUACAAAAACAUACUGUAUUAAGUUAAGAUUAUGAAAAAGAUCUUAAUGGGUAAAAAAAAAAAUGUUCUUAAAAUGUGAUGUGCUCAGUUUGAUUCUGUCUAGAUAAAUGGAGCGUUCCUUCUAAAUUAAUUGAAGAUGCAGAAUGAUAGAGUACAUGGGUUACAUCCUAUUUUUGUUAGUAAGCAACUAGGCAGAAUAUUAAGCAAAAUAUAUAGGAUAUAUGUCACAUGACUGAAAUGGGUUCUGCCAAAGGCAUCUCAAUUCCUCUGCCUGAAAAUCUGAAUCUGUACAAUUAUGGUUCUUUAUUUGGAUGUUAAUCAUCCAUAUGAGUCUUGGCUAGGAAACCUUGGAUAUAUUUAGUUUGGGACAGAAGGAGUUUGGAAAUUACAAUUUGAAUCCUGGAAGCAGAACCGGCAGUAAAUAUUAUAUCACUAUCAUCAUCGACUUAGAUCAAUGUGUAAAGGCAGCAUGCAACAGUUUUAAGAUUCAACAAGGAGAGAUCACAUUUACUUUCUGAGAAGCCAAAACCGACGAGUUUUUUUGAGCACUUCAUAUCAUGUUCUAGGCUUCCUACCCUUGCUAUAUGCGGUUACACAUUUCUGUUUUUAGAGUUCGGAAUUCGGCUGUAGGUGCAGCUUUAGCACAGCUUGUGCUAUAAACUAUGUUUGUAUAAAUAUUUUGGUUCAAUAAAUUUAUUUGGCUUGUAAGAAAAGCAUUAAAUUGAUGGAUUCGCUAUUUAUUUGGCUUAUAAGAUAAUGUGCACUGUAACAACCUUACAGGCUAAACAACUAAUGAGAAGUUUUCUGAAUAUUCGAUAAAACCCCAUCAUACUCUUUCUGUGUAGCGGUCCUCCGGAGGAAGGGCCUAGGCAUGCUUAAAAGUGGAGCCCUAUUAUUUUUUAUUCUUCAAUUGUAAAGAUAAGUGUACGAUGCAGUUUAGGAAUGGGAAUAUGUUGGGGUAAGAAAGGAUUCUAACACAAUUCCUGGCUUGGACCUUGUUUGCAUUCGAUGGACAGCUCUGCUAACUAAAUUAGAAAGGAGGAACCUGGAUUAGUAUUACUUGAAGCAGUAUAGUAAUAUUCAUGAGACGGAGAAGAGGAUGUUUGAGUAUCAUUUUGCAUAAGGUGCAGGUGAAGGAGAAUCAACCUGUGCGGUAAGAUGGGAGGAAUUUGAAGGGAAUGAGAAAAAGGGAAAGAUAGAGGAAUCAAUUCCUCAGUUUUUUUGAGAGAGCAUUUUUUAAGGGAAUGGGAUGAAUAUACUUAAGAGUAAUUUUUUGUUUGUUUUAAGUGUAUUAUCAAGAGAAGUAGUGAAUUUGAAAUUUAUUCGAUAUCCUCCAAAACCCUUCCCCAAUGCAUCUUUUUAGUUCCCCAUAUUGGAGGGUUUUAGUCCAAUGAAGAAAAAUAAAAUCUCAUGCAAGGUUGGGAACAUAGUCACAUAAUUCGUAAUUCGCGUUGGUACGCGGUACGCAAUAUGUGAAGAAUCCGGCACGUAUGGGGGUAUAGAGUUUCAGUAUGCGUCGGUUCGUAAUUCCAGUGUCCAAAAGAAAUAAGGCCAACACUAAGAUAAAAUGACACACAUCAUCCAAAAGUUGACAGGCAGUUAGUAGCAUAAGUGCACAACUCGGUUGUUUAAACCUUAAGCUUAAGUCCCACAUCGGAUGAUUUGAAAGAACAAGAGAAGAGAGCUGUUUAUAAAACCAACCAAAUGGAGCGCAUACUGUAUGGAUUAAUGUAUACGGUGCAUAUCACCGUUUAUUAUUAUUUUUUGUUUAUUUUAUAGUUCAAACCUUUUUUUUUCCCAACCAAUUAGUGCUAUUCUUUCCCUGGUACGCCAUUUGUUGCGAAUUCCACACGAAUUGGUUCGCGGUUCUCCGCCAAAUGAACGAAUUAUGUUACUAUGGUUGGGAACUACUCACCCUUCGUUAGUUCAUUUUCUCUUUAUUCCGUCCUUUAUCCUCAAAACUCUCCCUUUCCAUCCAAACUCCCAAGCAUAGCCCAAGAUGGACCUGAUAGUUUGAAUAACACCAAGUGGGAGAACUCUGCAGGUUGCAACUAAUGCAGGUGGAGAUUCACUGGAAAAGGAGAAUUUAGUUUCAUGAAACAGGACAUCUUUAGUAAUGAACAUUUAACUUGGGGGUUGCACAGCUGCUGCCAGCUUCUGACCGCUGAAUCUGUGACUAAUACUUCUGCCUGUUAAUUUGAAAAUAAAUUACAAAAAUAACUGCACAUAAUUAACUUUGUAAAUUAUUGCCUACGUACUGUCCAUAACAACCUCAGUUAUCACAAAGCAUCCAAAAUGAUAGAAAUUCUACACUUUAGCUUAUAAAUUCCAACUACAGAUACCGAGGCAUAUUCUCAACAUUGAAUUAUAUGAUUUUUUAUUUUAUUUUUAUAACAUAAAUCCUUAUUCAUAUCACCAAGGUAUAUGAUUUGUAACAGAGUUUUGGAAGACUCAGAGGUGUGUAUGAUCCUUGUACAGAGAAUCACAGUAAUAUAUACUUCAAUCGACCAGAGGUCCAAAGGGCUCUACAUGUUAAUCCAGAUCAUAAGCCUGAUAAAUGGCAGACCUGCAGGUAAGGCUCAAAAACAGAAACUUUAGAAAGUCUUUACAUUUUUUUUUUUUUUAAAACUCGUAUCUGAUCCAAUAGAAAGUCUUUACAUAUUAUAACAGCAUGUGUUACAAAUCAUAUAACCACCUAAUUUCAAAUAUACGACGAACUGAAAUGUAGAAACGGUAUGAAAAUAGUACUGAAAACAGAAAUACUGUCGGAGAAGCAAAACACUAUUCUGCACUAUUAACUAACAAUUGAAGAAUUCUUGCAACUAUGACAUUUAAUAAUUGGUACUAACUUCAAGAAUUUUAGGCACAACAUAAAGUGCAUCCCUGUAUUUCUUUCCACGUUUAUAACAAAUUCAUAAGAUCAUAAUCCAGUUAUUAUCAUUUAUUACAGUGAUGUGGUAGGUACUAACUGGAAGGAUUCACCUAGGUCAGUGCUCAAUAUAUAUCGUGAACUUAUUCCUACCGGGCUGCGAAUAUGGAUAUUCAGGUUACUCAUUCAUCCACUGUCACUCGCAUAUCAUUUUUUUCCUAAAGUAAUUUUAGGCGCCAAAGGGACUUACAUUUUUGUGUUUCCUCAAUUCAUCUAUGUCAUGGCAGUGGUAAUACUGAUGCUAUAAUCCCAGUAACAUCUACUCGCUAUUCCAUAAAUGCUCUUAAGCUUCCAACUGUGAGCCCAUGGCGUGCAUGGUAUGACGAUGGGGAGGUAAGUCAUAAUAGACAGAUAGAUUCCAUUAUUUUCUUCGUUUAGAUUAUAUUUUCGCAUUGGGUAGCUAUCGUUCACUUAACAGUGACUUCAUUGCAUUGACAUAUAAUUGAACAAACAGGUAGGAGGAUGGACCCAAGAAUACGCCGGACUCACAUUUGUUAACGUAAGGGGUGCAGGGCACGAAGUUCCUCUGCAUAGACCAAAACUUGCUCUAACAUUGAUCAAAGCCUUCUUAGAAGGAACCUCCAUGCCAACUCUUGAACCACGCACACUCACCGCCACAAUUUGAUAUGAUACAUUCAAGUUUAUGGUUGUUACCUUCCCGUUUGUAUUUGUCUUUAUUAGAAAACAAGUGGUGAAUGCAAUACGUUGUUCCUCAACCAAGGAC
rnacentral:lncRNA from 1 species